GAUGAAGAACGUAGUGAAACGCGAUAGUUAAUGUGAAUUGCAGAAUUCAGUGAAUCAUCGAGUCUUUGAACGCACAUUGCGCCCCCUGGUAUUCCGGGGGGCAUGCCUGUCCGAGCGUCAUUGCUGCCCUCAAGCACGGCUUGUGUGUUGGGCCUCCGUCCUCCUCCCGGGGGACGGGCCCGAAAGGCAGCGGCGGCACCGCGUCCGGUCCUCGAGCGUAUGGGGCUUCGUCACCCGCUCUUGUAGGCCCGGCCGGCGCUUGCCGACACAUCAAUCUUUUUUCCAGGUUGACCUCGGAUCAGGUAGGGAUACCCGCUGAACUUAAGCAUAUCAAUAAGCGGAGGA
rnacentral:misc_RNA from 1 species